rnacentral:rRNA from 1 species
GUCUCCUCCUAAAGAGUAACGGAGGAGCACGAAGGUUGGCUAAUCCUGGUCGGACAUCAGGAGGUUAGUGCAAUGGCAUAAGCCAGCUUGACUGCGAGCGUGACGGCGCGAGCAGGUGCGAAAGCAGGUCAUAGUGAUCCGGUGGUUCUGAAUGGAAGGGCCAUCGCUCAACGGAUAAAAGGUACUCCGGGGAUAACAGGCUGAUACCGCCCAAGAGUUCAUAUCGACGGCGGUGUUUGGCACCUCGAUGUCGGCUCAUCACAUCCUGGGGCUGAAGUAGGUCCCAAGGGUAU